rnacentral:misc_RNA from 1 species
GAAGUGCGAUAUGUAAUGCGAACCGCAGACUUCCGCGAAUCAUCGAAUCUUUGAAUGCACCUUGCACCUGUGUGCUUUCACGGGCACAUGGGUACACCUGUUUGAGAAUUGAUUUUUUCAUCUCACACCCUCACAUUUGUAUGUGUGUGAGCAUGUUGACGUGUCAGUUGUGAUUCAUCACGACUGUCCGUUGAAAUACCACGAACCAUGGUGUUAGUGUAUGACGCGAUUGCGUGCACUCACAAUGGGAUUGGUGGAGUAGGUGUUGUUGUUGUGUUCCGCACACACACACACACACGACACCUUUCCCAGCACACAAAUCACGCACACACACACACAAACCUCAAUACCAAUCUCAAAUCAGGUGAGAACACCCGCUGAAUUUAA